rnacentral:rRNA from 1 species
CCUGCCCCGGAGCGGGGGAUAACCCGGCGAAAGCCGGACUAAUACCGCGUAUAUAUCCAGGAGGCAUCUUCUGGAUAGGAAAGGACUUCGGUCCGCUCCGGGAUGGGCAUGCGGCGCAUUAGGCAGACGGCGGGGUAACGGCCCACCGUACCGACGAUGCGUAGGGGUUCUGAGAGGAAGGCCCCCCACACUGGUACUGAGACACGGACCAGACUCCUACGGGAGGCAGCAGUGAGGAAUAUUGGUCAAUGGGCGAGAGCCUGAACCAGCCAAGCCGCGUGAGGGAAGAAGGCGCUCAGCGUCGUAAACCUCUUUAGCCGGGGGACAAAACCUCCUCGCGAAGGAGGCUUGAGAGUACCCGGAGAAUAAGCAUCGGCUAACUCCGUGCCAGCAGCCGCGGUAAUACGGAGGAUGCGAGCGUUAUCCGGAUUUAUUGGGUUUAAAGGGUGCGCAGGCGGACAUUCAAGUCUGCGGUCAAAUUCCGGGGCUCAACCCCGGCCAGCCGUGGAAACUGAAUGACUUGAGUGGGCGAGAGGUAUGCGGAAUGCGCGGUGUAGCGGUGAAAUGCUUAGAGAUCGCGCAGAACUCCGAUUGCGAAGGCAGCAUACCGGCGCCUUACUGACGCUCAGGCACGAAAGCGUGGGGAUCGAACAGGAUUAGAUACCCUGGUAGUCCACGCAGUAAACGAUGAAUGCUGGUUGUUCGGGCCGACUGAGGCCUGAGUAACGUAGUGAAAACGUUAAGCAUUCCACCUGGGGAGUACGCCGGCAACGGUGAAACUCAAAGGAAUUGACGGGGGCCCGCACAAGCGGAGGAACAUGUGGUUUAAUUCGAUGAUACGCGAGGAACCUUACCCGGGCUCAAACGGGAGCGGACGUGCGGAGAAAUCCGCAUUUCUUCGGACCGCUUCCGAGGUGCUGCAUGGUUGUCGUCAGCUCGUGCCGUGAGGUGUCGGCUUAAGUGCCAUAACGAGCGCAACCCCUGCGGACAGUUGCCAUCAGGUAGAGCUGGGCACUCUGUCCGGACUGCCGGCGCAAGCCGUGAGGAAGGCGGGGAUGACGUCAAAUCAGCACGGCCCUUACGUCCGGGGCUACACACGUGUUACAAUGGGCGGCACAGCGGGAAGCCAGGUGGUGACACCGAGCAGAACCCGAAAGCCGUUCUCAGUUCGGAUCGGAGUCUGCAACCCGACUCCG